ACAGGUUGCAGUUUAUGAAACCAGACUUAUGAAAUGGAUAAAUCCUGUUUGUUAAAAAGAUGCAUCAGAGCUUGCUCUAUCAGAGACUUAAAACCACUGCCCACAGUUAAGGGACUGACAAUCUGAGAGGCUGAGUAGCGAGACAGGUGACUGGGAAUAGCUGCUCUUCCUUUGUAUGCUGGGAAACAAAAGCUUCUCUCCAAGGUGGACUACUGCAAGUGCUCAUAAUAUUGACUGAAGAAAGGACACAUUAAAAAAAUCAGAAGGGGAAGGAAAGGGACAUGGAGAGAAAUACACCUUUCAUAUUCAUGGAUGUAC